UACGGAGGGGGCUAGCGUUGUUCGGAAUUACUGGGCGUAAAGCGCGCGUAGGCGGACCUGCAAGUCGGGGGUGAAAGCCCGAGGCUCAACCUCGGAACUGCCUUCGAUACUGCGGGUCUCGAGUCCGGGAGAGGUGAGUGGAAUUCCUAGUGUAGAGGUGAAAUUCGUAGAUAUUAGGAAGAACACCAGUGGCGAAAGGCGGCUCACUGGCCCGGUACUGACGCUGAGGCGCGAAAGCGUGGGGAGCAAACAGG
rnacentral:rRNA from 1 species